UACGGAAGGCAGCAGUGGGGAAUAUUGCACAAUGGGCGCAAGCCUGAUGCAGCCAUGCCGCGUGUAUGAAGAAGGCCUUCGGGCUGUAAAGUACUUUCAGUCGUGAGGAAGGUGUUAAGGUUAAUAACCUUAGCAAUUGACGUUAGCGACAGAAGAAGCACCGGCUAACUCCGUGCCAGCAGCCGCGGUAAUACGGAGGGUGCGAGCGUUAAUCGGAAUUACUGGGCGUAAAGGGCACGCAGGCGGUUAAUUAAGUUGGAUGUGAAAUCCCCGGGCUUAACCUGGGAAUGGCAUUCAAGACUGGUUAGCUAGAGUCUUGUAGAGGGGGUAGAAUUCCAUGUGUAGCGGUGAAAUGCGUAGAGAUGUGGAGGAAUACCGGUGGCGAAGGCGGCCCCUGGGACAAAGACUGACGCUCAUGUGCGAAAGCGUGGGGAGCAAACAGGGAUUAGAUACC
rnacentral:rRNA from 1 species